UUAAGGCAGUUGCAUGUGUUAUCGUUUUAUCAGUUAUAGAAGAUACAAGGUAUAGCUUUGUCACUUUAACAUUGGUAAGUAGUGCAUAUGGUGAAGUCAUGCCUGCAAUUUUAGUACCUUGAAACUCAAGUCAGGUCAAAAAGGAGAGCCAAGUGUUAGAAUGUAGUUGUUUGGACUUUCAGAUAAUCCAUUCAGCUUUUUCACUCUCAUAAUUACCAACCACUUGUGCUGCAAUGAUGAAGAAGGUGGACUGUGUAAUAUGGUCCAUUACACACCUAUUGAGAAUUCGUAUGCAACAAACCCAGAAGGAUGAGGGUAAUAGAUGAAAGUAUGCAUUGUUCUAUAUAUGUAACUGAGUUCCUUUUAUGGCUAUAGCAUCAGUUAUUUGCUCUGUACUGCUUAGAAAUCUUGUUUCUUAUGGAAUAGAGUUAGUGCCUGCUCUUCAGAUUCUGAUCCCGUUGCGCAUCAUGUUUCUAAACAAGCAUGAAACAUUAAUAGACCAAAAAUUAUUUAGUAUGAUGGCAAUUAAUCUCUCGUAUUUUAUGCAUAUUACAGAACUUUUCUUUUGCAAAAAAAGACAAGCUAUGCAAUCAACUAUCCUGAUAUUUGAUUCAUUGGUUGAUACCAUGAAUGUUUGCAAGCGGAAUAGUUAAGAUUCCUGCAUGUUUCUUAGAAGCUAGGGAGAUAGUCUAGUCCAAGGUCCGCAUUUUCGGUACCAGAUAUUGUCCCAGUACUUGAACGGCAUGCUAGGGUACUGUACCAUACCGUUGAUACUUUUGUUACCAAUUCAAUACCAUUUUAGCAUUUUUUUGCCUUUUUCAUGGAUUAUUUUAAGGUUUGUGGAUGCUUAAAAGUAUUGAAGUUUACUUUUGAAGUACUCAAUCAAACCUCAGUCACAGUUCAAAGUACCCAAUUAGGAUUUUGUGGAUGUUCAAAGUACUUAACAAAUUUUCUAUUAGCAAAUUUAGACAUUUUAAAAAUUUGAAAAAUGCCUAGCACUAGCAGUAAUUAGUAAUUCUAAGGAACACUUCGUGGUAUUAUAUAUCGAUACUAUUCAAACCACAGUCGUAGAUAGCUAGUAUCAAAAGCUUCUAAGGAGAACCCAAUAGUAAUACUACAUAAAUUCUUAGAUUAUGUGAUUGACCAUGCUAAUAAAUAUCAAGAAAAUAAUCAAGCUUUAAAAGUUUCAACCUUUUCCUUAGACUUUGUCUUAAAAGACAUACAACACCGGUCCAUGUCUCCUUCAAAAAUAAAUGAAAAUUAAAAUUAUACUUGGUAAGACUUGAUUCAUAUGUCAUCAAGCCCUCAAAAAACUGUGAUGGAAUUAGCAAAAGUAAUACCAGUUAGGGCUAAAACCAUGCGAAAGCACAAAAUACAUAUAAUAUAGAGCUUUUAAUAUAACAACCUAUCUGAUUUAAUAUAACAACCUAUUUGAAAAAACAAAUAGUGAGAUAUCUACAGUAAUUUAGAACAUUCAAGUCCAGCGGUUCUAUAUUUAUUGAUAUAUCAUUAGAUGCUGAAAGUUGUAAUGCCAUCCUUGUAGAUUAUUCAAGGGUAUUGUGCAUGUAGAUCAUUAAGAUUUGUGAUUGUUCGAAGUCUUUGAACAAUGGCUACUCAAAUAGCGUAUGAGGGGAAA